rnacentral:rRNA from 1 species
UGGCGAACGGGUGAGUAACACGUGGGGCAACCUGCCCAAAAGAGGGGGAUAACACUUGGAAACAGGUGCUAAUACCGCAUAACCAUAGUUACCGCAUGGUAACUAUGUAAAAGGUGGCUAUGCUACCGCUUUUGGAUGGGCCCGCGACGCAUUAGCUAGUUGGUGGGGUAAAGGCUUACCAAGGCAAUGAUGCGUAGCCGAACUGAGAGGUUGAUCGGCCACAUUGGGACUGAGACACGGCCCAAACUCCUACGGGAGGCAGCAG